AAAAAAAUUAUUCAGGUGAAACAAUCAGUAAAACAAUCUGUAUUAAAAUACAUACGACUAUGUAUAAGUACAUAAUCAAGUGGAUAGAAGUGUAGAAUUGCCUGGUCUCUUAAGAGAGUGAGUUUUAAGAGCGGCCCAAUCUGAAGUUCCACUCAAUACGCCACGAAGAGCGGAUCGCAUCGAGAGCGAGCAGCACUGAGAAAAUGAGAGACAUUUGUGGGAGAGACUAUGUAGUUGCUGCUGUUUUAAUGCUCAACGCGUCACAUUUGCUGCGACACAUUAGGAAAGGAAACGAGUAUCUGGUAUCUGGGAGGCAGAGAGGAGGCCAACGAUUACGUAGUGGGGCGCUUGCAGGGCAUCCAAAUUCAGGUAGUGGACAGUCACAGUCUCUGGAGCUGAAUUUGUCAAAUUUCUCUAUUAUACAAAUAGGAUCUCCUUUUGUUUUUGGUUUCUGUUUAAGUUCAAGUGAAGAAUCUGUUGGCUUGAAAUGUUUUGACUAAUUCCACAUACGAGAGGUGUAAGAAAGACAGAGUUGACAUAGAAAUUCAGGAUUAUCAUCAUCGUUGCCCAGAGUAGCCCGCCCCGCAGGAACAAACGAACCAUCAACGAACGAACGAACGAGCGAACGAGCGAGCCAGCAGCGAACGAAGCGAAAGAAUGACGCCAGAAAGGAGAUGCAGAAAAACAAGUAAGGACGCGUGAGUCGAAAAGAUCGACUAUGUGAUACCCGCUACUCAGACUUGUCUGUUGCUGCUGAAGGUUGGAAAUAAGGCUGCUUUUUACACCGCAUAGCACCAGAUCAGUCGCUAUCCACGCGAAAAGAAUAUACCCCUGGCUGUGAGGAGCAGCGGGUACGAAAA